rnacentral:rRNA from 1 species
GAUGAACGCUGGCGGCGUGCUUAACACAUGCAAGUCGAACGAAGCACUUAAGAUUGAUUCUUCGGAUGAAGUCUUUUGUGACUGAGUGGCGGACGGGUGAGUAACGCGUGGGUAACCUGCCUCAUACAGGGGGAUAACAGUUAGAAAUGACUGCUAAUACCGCAUAAGCGCACAGGGUCGCAUGACCUGGUGUGAAAAACUCCGGUGGUAUGAGAUGGACCCCGCGUCUGAUUAGCUAGUUGGCGAGGUAACGGCCCACCAAGGCGACGAUCAGUAGCCGACCUGAGAGGUGAUCGGGCCACAUUGGGACUGAGACACGGCCCAAAACUCCUACGGAGCAGCAGUGGGGAAUAUUUCGCGACAAUGGGGGAAACCCUGAUGCAGCGACGCCGCGUGAAGAGAAG